rnacentral:lncRNA from 1 species
AAUUAUUAAAUUAAGUAAGAACAAAAUAUAAUAAUAAAUGCACUGUAUUAUAUCAAUAAGUUUAGAUUAUCAAAAGGUUUGUGAAGAAGAUGUGGUUACUGGUAUGAGUGCUAAUGAGACCGCUCUAUCCAAGUCACAAUUUUUAAAAGAAAAACUAUUUUAGCUUUUAGGUCAAAGUAAUGUCUUCAACACGGAACCUUGUCUCACACCGA